CUGCUAGCUGUGAGGAUGACUUCCGGUUCUCCACACCCGCGGGAAACCUUUAGCUAUGUCCACAGCAUUCCAUUUAAUUCUACAAAAAGGGAAAUUCUGCUGUUCCAGGAAGGCAUGCCAUCAUCACUUUUCUCCCUACACUCCUAGAGCAGAAUGAGACCCUUUAAAGAGCCAUAGCUGGGGGAAGCAAGUUGAGAAAUCU